rnacentral:lncRNA from 1 species
GAGCCGCGGAGCGGGGACAGCGACACAGCCGGGUAGGGCUCCAGCGAGCCGCAGCGGCGACAUCGACCGGGUAAGAGCAUCCCAGCUUCCUGCUCGGCCCCCACCCUCGGCCAACCCUUUGUUUCACAGCCUUUUAUUUUAUUUAUUCCGCAGCCCGGCUGUCGGAGGGGCUCUCCCCGCAUCCCCUCCCCGCCGGGGCCGCUGUCCCUUCGUGCCCGGCAGGGAAGGGCUGCGGGUCCUGGAGCGGGGAACAGGCUGUGGGAGCGGCGCGGGGAGGAGACACCGCGGCGAGGAACCUCUGCGGAGGAGGGAGGGUGGGCGGAAAUGCCGCUGCUCAUCACCCGUGCCCCUCUCCUGCCCUGGGUAAGAGGAGCAUCUCCCCUUCAUCCCCCUCUUCAUCCUCCCCCCUUUCCUUCUCGGCGCUUCCAGGCUCUCUGUAUGGAAAUCACGACCUGGCUCGGUGGAAAAAUCUCCCUUUUCUUCACAUAGUGCCUCUGGAAUGUGUGCGGAAUCUCAAGGUUUGGUCCUCUCUCUAACGAUGUCCUUAGGCUGAACUUGCUUUGCAGCUCCUUCACACCAAAGGCAGCUUAAAUCAGCCAAGGAGAAUUUUGAGUCCGACCAACCCCACCCUCCCAAUAGAAGAGAAGAGAUCGACUUCAUGAGUCUUUGGCUUCGCAAUGUGGUGUUUUCAUUUCAUAGCAUCCAGAGGUGCAGUGCACAUGGUCUGAUCUUUAUUUCACCGUGCUCUCUUUCCCUCCCUGCCACGCUCUUUCACCCGAAGAGCAGUACAACUUGGUUUCCUCAACUAGUAUAACCUCUGCUGGCCCUUUUCCACUUUAAAUCUAAUAAGAACAUUCUGAUGUUAUUCACUUCCUAGAAUUAUAGAAUCACAGAAUGGUUUGGUUAGAAGGGACAUUAAAGAUCAUCUCGUUCCAGCCCCCUAACACAAGCAGGGACACCUUCCACUAGACCAGGCUGUUGGUUUUUAACCUAAAGGUUAAAAAAAGUUACUUUAUAAUUACAACACAGAUCUGCAACAGUGGUCAACUCCAAGACCUAAUUGUGGCCACAGUUCACUUUUGGCUCUUAAAAAUCACCCUGAAGCAGAGUUAAAGGGUUGUAGAGGACUAUGGUGCUUUUUGUUCAAUGAUGUUAAUAAUCUAUGGCCUUAGAAUAUGAUAUCACAAAGUCUCAUCCUAGGGCAGAAUAAUGAAAUCACAAGCAAUGGAACGGGCCAGAAACUUAUAUCACUCCCCAAAAUGCUAAAUGCAAACUGGGACCCAAUCUGAACUGAGGAGCUGCACAUCUGAUGUGAGAGGGGAGGGGCACUUCAAGUCCUCCCGUCCUAAAAGCCUCGUGGCCCUGAAUUACAGGCCAUUAGAUUCCUUUGUCCUGUAAAUCUGCGUUAAAUAGCAGCGUGAUUCUGUGUCGGUAAACGCAGGUUUUAACAGCUUAUCCCAUAAUAUUUUGAUUUUUCUUUGCUUCAUCUAUUCAGCCUUUUCACCGUUUUUCUCCCAGGACCUGCUUAUGCUUCCC